AGAGUUUGUUCCUGGCUCAGGAUGAACGCUAGCGACAGGCUUAACACAUGCAAGUCGAGGGGCAGCAUGAUUUGUAGCAAUACAGAUUGAUGGCGACCGGCGCACGGGUGAGUAACGCGUAUGCAACUUACCUAUCAGAGGGGGAUAGCCCGGCGAAAGUCGGAUUAAUACCCCAUAAAACAGGGGUCCCGCAUGGGAAUAUUUGUUAAAGAUUCAUCGCUGAUAGAUAGGCAUGCGUUCCAUUAGGCAGUUGGCGGGGUAACGGCCCACCAAACCGACGAUGGAUAGGGGUUCUGAGAGGAAGGUCCCCCACAUUGGUACUGAGACACGGACCAAACUCCUACGGGAGGCAGCAGUGAGGAAUAUUGGUCAAUGGCCGAGAGGCUGAACCAGCCAAGUCGCGUGAAGGAAGAAGGAUCUAUGGUUUGUAAACUUCUUUUAUAGGGGAAUAAAGUGGAGGACGUGUCCUUUUUUGUAUGUACCCUAUGAAUAAGCAUCGGCUAACUCCGUGCCAGCAGCCGCGGUAAUACGGAGGAUGCGAGCGUUAUCCGGAUUUAUUGGGUUUAAAGGGUGCGUAGGUGGUGAUUUAAGUCAGCGGUGAAAGUUUGUGGCUCAACCAUAAAAUUGCCGUUGAAACUGGGUUACUUGAGUGUGUUUGAGGUAGGCGGAAUGCGUGGUGUAGCGGUGAAAUGCAUAGAUAUCACGCAGAACUCCGAUUGCGAAGGCAGCUUACUAAACCAUAACUGACACUGAAGCACGAAAGCGUGGGGAUCAAACAGGAUUAGAUACCCUGGUAGUCCACGCAGUAAACGAUGAUUACUAGGAGUUUGCGAUACAAUGUAAGCUCUACAGCGAAAGCGUUAAGUAAUCCACCUGGGGAGUACGCCGGCAACGGUGAAACUCAAAGGAAUUGACGGGGGCCCGCACAAGCGGAGGAACAUGUGGUUUAAUUCGAUGAUACGCGAGGAACCUUACCCGGGCUUAAAUUGCAGAUGAAUUACGGUGAAAGCCGUAAGCCGCAAGGCAUCUGUGAAGGUGCUGCAUGGUUGUCGUCAGCUCGUGCCGUGAGGUGUCGGCUUAAGUGCCAUAACGAGCGCAACCCUUGUUGUCAGUUACUAACAGGUUUCGCUGAGGACUCUGACAAGACUGCCAUCGUAAGAUGUGAGGAAGGUGGGGAUGACGUCAAAUCAGCACGGCCCUUACGUCCGGGGCAACACACGUGUUACAAUGGGGGGUACAGAGGGCUGCUACCACGCAAGUGGAUGCCAAUCCCAAAAACCUCUCUCAGUUCGGAUUGAAGUCUGCAACCCGACUUCAUGAAGCUGGAUUCGCUAGUAAUCGCGCAUCAGCCACGGCGCGGUGAAUACGUUCCCGGGCCUUGCACUCACCGCCCGUCAAG
rnacentral:rRNA from 1 species